UCUGGCUCGUGGUGACCCAACACCCUAUGAAGACACUUUAUGUCCUUCAUUUUGGCAGUUACCUGAAUCUAGUCUGGGAAAUCCCAUACCCAGGGCAACAGUAUGUUGAAACUUUGUUAACGUGAGAGGCAAACCAUCUGCAUAGGGAGACUAGCAUAUACAGUGCAUUCGGAAAGGAUUCAGACCCCUUGACUUGUUCCAUAUUUUGUUACGAUACAGCCUUUAUCUAAAUUUGAUUAAAUUAAAUAAAAAACUCAGCAAUCUACACAAAACACCCCACAAUGAAAAACGGGUUUUUAGAUAUUUUGGGGUAAAUACCAGUAUUAGGUAGUAACAGUAUUAGGUAUUAACAGUAUUAGGUAGUAACAGUAUUAGGUAUUAACAGUAUUAGGUAGUAACAGUAUUAGGUAUUAACAGUAUUAGGUAUUAACAGUAUUAGGUAUUAACAGUAUUAGGUAGUAACAGUAUUAGGUAUUAACAGUAUUAGUUAUUAACAGUAUU
ensembl:lncRNA